CGGCGGACGGGUGAGUAACACGUGAGUAACCUGCCUUAGACAUUGGGAUAGCCUCGGGAAACCGGGAUUAAUACCAAAUGAAAUCAUAGGUGCCCAUGCACUAAUGAUCAAAACUCCGGUGGUCUAAGAUGGACUCGCGUCCCAUUAGCUAGUUGGUGAGGUAACGGCCCACCAAGGCGACGAUGGGUAGCCGGCCUGAGAGGGUGAACGGCCACAUUGGAACUGAGAAACGGUCCAA
rnacentral:rRNA from 1 species